rnacentral:rRNA from 1 species
UGAACGCUGGCGGCGUGCUUUACACAUGCAAGUCGAGCGAUGAGAUCCCUUCGGGGAAGGAUUAGCGGCGAACGGGUGAGGAACACGUGAGGAAUCUGCCUUCAACACUGGGAUAACUCCGGGAAACCGGGGCUAAUACCGGAUACGAGACCUGCAGGCAUCUGCGGGUCUGGAAAGUUUUUCGGUUGAAGAUGACCUCGCGGCCUAUCAGCUUGUUGGUGAGGUAAUGGCUCACCAAGGCGACGACGGGUAGCCGGCCUGAGAGGGCGACCGGCCACACUGGGACUGAGACACGGCCCAGACUCCUACGGGAGGCAGCAGUGGGGAAUAUUGGGCAAUGGAGGGAACUCUGACCCAGCGACGCCGCGUGCGGGAUGAAGGCCUUCGGGUUGUAAACCGCUUUCAGCAAGGAAGAAGCGAAAGUGACGGUACUUGCAGAAGAAGCACCGGCUAACUAUGUGCCAGCAGCCGCGGUAAUACAUAGGGUGCAAGCGUUGUCCGGAAUUAUUGGGCGUAAAGAGCUCGUAGGUGGUUCGUCACGUCGGAUGUGAAAAUCUGGGGCUUAACCCCAGACCUGCAUUCGAUACGGGCGAGCUAGAGUGUGGUAGGGGAGACUGGAAUUCCUGGUGUAGCGGUGGAAUGCGCAGAUAUCAGGAGGAACACCAAUGGCGAAGGCAGGUCUCUGGGCCAUUACUGACACUGAGGAGCGAAAGCGUGGGGAGCGAACAGGAUUAGAUACCCUGGUAGUCCACGCCGUAAACGGUGGGCACUAGUUGUGGGAACCUUCCACGGUUUCUGCGACGCAGCUAACGCAUUAAGUGCCCCGCCUGGGGAGUACAGUC